GCUUACUUGUGUGUUUGAGUUUGGGGUUUUUGAAUGCUUGAAUAUUUGGGGGGAAAGAGAGGACUAUUUCUGCUGCUUUUUUUUUUUCCACAUGGGGUUUGAAUACCCAUGAGAGGUCCACCUGCCCCAGGAUCUGCACCUGUGCCCUGACCCACAAGCUGAUGCCCUGGGCUGUGGGCUGCCCCCAGGUGCCCCCAGCCUGCCCAACUCCCCAGCCACCCUGCCAGCCUGGAGAACCCCACAGCUCCCUGGCCUAAGACCUCAGGUCGACCUUGAGCACUCCCUGAGCUCCAGCAGCCAAACCUUCAGGAGAGCGGAUACUCUUAGGGCCCCGAGAGGCUGGAGAGCUGAGUGAAGAGAGUUUGGACCUUAAAAGGAAAAUGAGCUAAGGCUUUAAUUAGUGGGGCCACAGAGAAAGACAUGAAGAACGGCUGUGGAGAGCAAUAAGUAUAUGCUGAAAGCUUACAGGGAAACUGAUGCCAAGCAGAUUGCAGUACAUUUUAAAUUCCAAAUGUAGACAGACUCACAUGUAUGGAUGCCAAACACAACUGUUUUCUAUAUAAUUCUAAGAAGGUAGGAAAUGCAAACAAAUUCAAAAGCACAGAUUUGUGGUAACUGGGAAAUGCUCUGCUUCAGCAACUGCUCUACCCCUUGGCAUGAUCACAGAGAAUUGAUUCUGCUCUCUUAAAAACACCAGCUGUUCACUGCUGAAGGCUGUUUGUUGGUUUGCACCAUAUACACUAGGGCAAAAGAGACACAAGUUUAUGUUCUUGUAGCCCAUCUGUACCAGGUCUUGACCCACACAGCUCCGUCAGUGCAAAUACUGGCACAUCAGCCAGGAAACCCAGUAGCAAAGGUGACUACACACAAAAUCCUCUCAAAUGUACGAAGUAAAUGAAAAAUAUCAGCAAUCUGUGGGGUUACUGAAAAUGGCAAGCAUGCUAUUUUCAGGCAAACAUGAUUUGUGAGGCGAUGGCUGCUUCACAGGCAGAGUCACAGAAGCUUAGCCUCUGCAGCAUCUCUCUUACGUAAGCAGCACUUUCCAUGGCAGGAAGAGGUGCAGAUAAGAGCAGUGGUUUAGGGCUUGUGCUGAUAGCACAAAAUGAGCAGAAGCUGCUGGCAAGUCAAAACAGGUAGGAAAAAUACAGGAAGAGGCCAUAGAAAAGUGAAAAACAUUUCAUGUCGGAAGGGUUGGACUCUCAGGUGUGGAUGAAGCCAGAAGCGAUGUGACAUUUGCCGAGCCACCUCCUGCUCCAACCGCUUUCUCCAGUUACUCCUGGCUGGCAGUGUGCUGUUAGCAUAAAAGCAGGAGUGCAAGCAGCACUGGCUGAAGCGUGGCUAAACCAGGCACCAAGUGAGGUGCAGCACAACUGCUGUAUUCUUCUAUCCUGGCAGGUGAGACCCCACCCGUCAAUGGGAUUACCUGCUGUGGGGCAGGAGGCUGAGUGGGCAGGUCACCUCUCUGGAGAGGGCUGCAGUGGCAGGGUGCCGCUGGGAAGCACGGCCCCAGCACAGCUCCAUGGCAGGCUGGUCCCGCUAUCUGCACCACUCUGGGGCCUCUGCUGCCCUGGGAUUAAGUGCCAGAGGCAGCUGUGGCAGAGAGGCUGCCAGCCAGCCUGGGAACUCCCAUGGCCACCCAGCAAUCCUCCCUCUUGAAUCUGGGUAGAAGAUUAUUUCCUCCUGAGUCUUAGUAAAAAUGUGAUCUAGUAUCGAGACUUAAGGUUAUUAUUCUGAUGUCUGCAGGCAUCCUUCCAUGUGAAAAAAUUAAGAGCUUUUUGUCUAGGAUAUUACAUGCUUUGCUAAUAAACCACUUUGACAAUCCUUAAAAGAAUAAUGUUCCUGGGAGUGCAAGAAGUGAUGCGCUGUUUCUACGCUCUCCUCACCCUUUGUGUUUCUGAGUGGCACAACAUCACAUGGCGCAAUUCAUCCGGCAUUUUCACAUUUGGAGAAGCAGUCAGAAUGGAGCAAUCCAGCCAUGCCAGCUGAAUACACUGUCGUUAACUGACAGAUGUCUCGAGUGCAACAGGAGUCACGAGGCUGUCGUGGAGGUGCUGACUUCUAAAUCCCAACUGCAUGCAGAACCUUGGCAUAUUGUCAGCAUGUACAAUUUUCAAUUUCACGGGACAUUUCUUUUGGUGUUACCAGUGGAUUUUGUUUUACCUUCAUCUUCCCUUUUUUAUUAACACUGCAGGAAUUAUUUCCUGGGGCUCUCUCCUGUCUUAGCUGAUAAUGUUUGUGCUGUGUGAUUCCCAGGGGGUUUCUGAGACCUGAGCUUGCACGACUGCAUGUGUAUAUACGCUCAUAUACAAAUGCCAGAGAAUUCAGUAAAAUGAAAGCUGUCACAGGCCAAUUUACUACAGUCCCAAAGUUUGAAAGGUAUUUAGGUUAGUAUAAAACCAGGUUUCAGCUCCGGUCAGCUUUUCUUUGCAGAAUACAGAGAACAGCUGCCUGGCUGGCGGGUGCUGCCUGAACAAAGGUCUCCUUCUACUCUGAGUGGCCUCGGGGGGAAGCUGCUGCUGCGUCUGGCAGGCCUGGCAGCAGGGCCCGAAAUAGGGAUUUGCCCUGUACAGCUGUGGAGGUCAGACAAUCCAGGGCUGUAUUUUAUGUAUUUUUAUAUAUAUAUAUAUAUAUAUAGUAAGCGUGGGAGUACAUUUUUCUCCUGCAACCUACUCAGACCUUGGAGAGAAGCAAAGUGGGCUGAGUCAGUUCCUCAGACACUGCCCUUUUGCACAUUUUAAUCUUAUUUUUAAGAAUCCAAAGCAGGGUAAGCACAGCUCUCAGCUUUUUUGGCCAAGAUCUGACCGCACUCAUUUCAACAGACAGAACUUUGGUUUCAACAUGUAUUAAACUACCAGCUUUUUCAAGCUGAAGUGCAAUAUGUUGCAUUACUCUUAUGUCGAGAGUGAUAGAGCACUUUCAUCAACUGAUCCACUUUGCUCAGUUAGACUUUACUGAUCUUGCUUUUCUUUUCUCUGCUUAAAUUAAUACCGUCAUAUUUGUAAUUGAACUCAGUGGUAGCCAAGGCUAUAAAGGCAUAUAAAUGCAAAACCCUGCCUCUCCAAAGUCUUCAGUCUCACUGAGAAUGAAGCUCACAGAAGCACAUUCAGAUCAAAAUCAAUGCUACCUAAACCAGAAAAAAAUUCAUGUGCAGAGGCUCAUUUUGGAUCCUUCUAUAUGCCUUAUGGGAGAAUAAUUAUCUUUGUACACUGCAGACAUUUAUCUUUCCUUAUUCUAUGCAUUCUGUGAACAAACUGUUGAGUUCACUGCUUUGAUAAAAGCUUUUUAAAACACUUUAAUAAUUCUCCACUCAACACAACCCACACUGGCUCUUUUUUUUUUUUAUUAAAGUGGAGGUUUAUCAAGAAGAUCACAGAUUUUCCUGUGUUUGUUGUGAAAUCCACAUGGGAAAAAUCAAAUAAUUCUUGGUAUUUAAUAUAAUAAUUCUAACUACAUCAUAAGGUAAAGAACCUUAAUGUCACUAUCUAUGCAAGAUAUGAAAAUGUGUGUCUCCAGAAAUAAUGACCUUAUUACAGCAUUGAACUUGUGUGGGUGGAAGCCUGCUUUACAAGAAGCCCGUGGGAAAUAUCAUGUAUGUCGCCUGCCUAUUGUACAUUAUAGGGGAGCCCAGAGGUACAAUAAGAUGCACAUUUGGUAAGGGUCUUUCAUGUAAGAAAUCAUUAAUUUAAUGCAUUAAUCACUGGAGUGCAAUCAUAGACCUUAAUUUAGAAGGCAUUAGUCAUUCGCCAUAGAUAACCUUCAGUGGCUAUGAGAAUUUCAUAGUCUGAGUUCAUUACAACUGGCAAACAUCGUUUGCACAACCAGCACACACAAGGACCUGUUCUUUGGCUGGAAGCACAUUUUUUCAGUAUUAAAUCCACUCCAUUAAAUAUGAGAGAGCACCUGUUUGGGUCUUAUUUCAAUAAAGAUUAUAUCUUGGCUGCAUUUUAA